AGAUUGAACGCUAGCGGGAUGCUUUACACAUGCAAGUCGGACGGCAGCACGAAGAGCUUGCUCUUUGGUGGCGAGUGGCGAACGGGUGAGUAAUAUAUCGGAACGUGCCCAGUAGCGGGGGAUAACUACGCGAAAGCGUGGCUAAUACCGCAUACGCCCUACGGGGGAAAGGGGGGGAUCGCAAGACCUCUCACUAUUGGAGCGGCCGAUAUCAGAUUAGCUAGUUGGUGGGGUAAAGGCCUACCAAGGCAACGAUCUGUAGCUGGUUUGAGAGGACGACCAGCCACACUGGGACUGAGACACGGCCCAGACUCCUACGGGAGGCAGCAGUGGGGAAUUUUGGACAAUGGGGGCAACCCUGAUCCAGCCAUCCCGCGUGUGCGAUGAAGGCCUUCGGGUUGUAAAGCACUUUUGGCAGGGAAGAAACGGCGCUGGUUAAUACCUGGCGCAACUGACGGUACCUGCAGAAUAAGCACCGGCUAACUACGUGCCAGCAGCCGCGGUAAUACGUAGGGUGCAAGCGUUAAUCGGAAUUACUGGGCGUAAAGCGUGCGCAGGCGGUUCGGAAAGAAAGAUGUGAAAUCCCAGAGCUUAACUUUGGAACUGCAUUUUUAACUCCCGAACUAGAGUAUGUCAGAGGGGGGUAGAAUUCCACGUGUAGCAGUGAAAUGCGUAGAGAUGUGGAGGAAUACCGAUGGCGAAGGCAGCCCCCUGGGAUAAUA
rnacentral:rRNA from 1 species